CCCUUAGACGUUCUGGGCCGCACGCGCGCUACACUGACCAGUGCAACAAGCAUCCGUCCUUGGCCGACAGGCCCGGGCAAUCUUUGAACGCUGGUCGUGAUGGGGAUAGACUUUUGCAAUUUUUGGUCUUCAACGAGGAAUUCCUAGUAAACGCAAGUCAUCAACUUGCAUUGAUUACGUCCCUGCCCUUUGUACACACCGCCCGUCGCACCUACCAAUUGAAUGGUCCGGUGAAGCCUCCGGAUUGGCGCGCACCUCGGUGCCGCCGAGAAGUUGGCUAAACCUUACCAUUUAGAGGAAGGUGAAGUCGUAACA
rnacentral:rRNA from 1 species